rnacentral:rRNA from 1 species
CAGCCGCCGCGGUAAUACGUAGGUCCCGAGCGUUGUCCGGAUUUAUUGGGCGUAAAGCGAGCGCAGGCGGUUAGAUAAGUCUGAAGUUAAAGGCUGUGGCUUAACCAUAGUACGCUUUGGAAACUGUUUAACUUGAGUGCAAGAGGGGAGAGUGGAAUUCCAUGUGUAGCGGUGAAAUGCGUAGAUAUAUGGAGGAACACCGGUGGCGAAAGCGGCUCUCUGGCUUGUAACUGACGCUGAGGCUCGAAGGCGUGGGGAGCAAACAGGAUUAGAUACCCCAGUAGUCCCUGUCUCUUAUACA